UUAUAUUUUAUGACAAUUUACCAUAUUUAAUCAGCUAUAGGAUUUACUGUUACUAUAGAAAGUUAUACACAUCUCUUCCUUCACCCACAGCCACCCCUGCCAGCUCCCCCAGAGUCUUGCAGUCCCCCAGCACCACCACCUCUGGCUUCCCCACCACCAGUACAGCCCCAGCAUGUAGUUCAGCAGCCCCCACAGCCCCCUCAACAGAUGGUUCAGCAGCCCCCACAGCUCCCUCAACAGAUGGUUCAACAACCCCACCAGGUUCCUCAACAGAUGGUUCAGCAGCCCCACCAGGUUCCUCAACAGAUGGUUCAGCAGCCCCACCAGGUUCCUCAACAGAUGGCUCAACAGCCCCCACAGCUCGCUCAACAGAUGGUUCAGCAGCCCCCCCAGGUCCCUCAGCACAUGGUUCAACAGCCCCCACAAGUUCCCCCACAUAUGACCCAGCAGCCCCCACAAGUUCCUCAGCAUAUGACACAGGCACACCUGGGUGUUCAGCAACAAUAUCAGCAGCAGCAGCCACAGCAACAGCAACAACAGUAUCAUCAACAGUAUCAACAACAGCAGCAUCAACACUAUCAGCACCAACAACAGCACCAACUGCAGCACCAACAACAGCACCAACAACAGCACCAACAACAGCACCAACAACAGCACCAACAACAGCACCAACAACAGCACCAACAGCAACAUCACCUCACUCAGCCAAACCCACAGAUUCACGUUCUUCGCGGGAACUCGCUGGAGAGCAGCCCAGGCCGUAGUGGGGACUCUGCAGUGGUGAUGGGGGAGGUGCCACGUAACUCCGAUUCCUCCUCCACCGCCUCCUCCGUCAGCCCACCUGAUAAGCGUUGCGACUCUGGCAUUCACUCCCAGGCAUCCUAUUCCUCAUCCUCAGCCUCGCACUCUAAAUCAGGAUCCUCAGGGUCAGAAAGCUGUGUGCCUAUCCCAGCGGCGGGACCUCCUCGCUGCUCCAGUGUGGAUGAUCUGUGCCGAACACAGCCUCCUCCACCACCUCCUGAGUCCUGUGUUAAGAGCCUCUCCUUGCAGAGGGGUGCUGUGCCUCCUACCGUACCUCCUUCAAAUCAUGGCACUGCCCCAACUACCACCACUACUACUGCUAACACUGUGCAAGGCAAGACAGGACGCUUGAAUAUUGAAGUGGUAGGUGGAGGCUAUGGCUUCCUGCCACCCUCUAAAUUUGUGGCUUCUGAGCCUGUUUACAGUGACGCUUCCACACCAGUGGUGAUCAAGCGACGGAGCUCAGUCACUGCCGUUGAGCCUGACACGCCUCCUUAUGAACGUUCUGGCUCCUCCUUUAGCACUUUCACAGAGCCUCAACUACCAAGAGCAGUUUUGAAAGGAAAUCCAUAUGCCGCCACCAAGUCCCAGACCGUGGCGGCGCAUGGACUCCGUGCACGACGGCUGCCUGCAGCCGACGCCAAGCAUGCUACCAUCGCCGGGGUUGUGCCCCCCAAGGGCUUCCACCAGCCGGGCCACAUCGACUCGCGCUACUUCUCUGUGCCCGCCGUCAAGCCGCCAGGUACCCGUGUGCACCCGGCGCCUACUCCCACCCUCUCCUAUCGCACCCCCUCCCUCCACUAACUCUCACGCCCCUGAUGUGCCCGUAAGAUUAUGAUUGGAAGCGAGUGUCCCAGAGGAGCAGGAGACUGGGUGAUGAAAGGGACUGGAGUGAUGGCGUAAGAGCAGCUAAGGUUACAUCACAACUACAACAAAUUAUCAACUAGGCUGGAUUAGAAAAUUGCAUCUAUGGAAAGUGAUUUGUUAAUGCCCAAAACUGAACAAAGUCUGUUACAAACAGCUUAAAAGUGACUUGUGUUAACUUUCACAAACUGUAGUCUGCAGUGUACAGUACCACUGAUUAACAUUAAUCACACUGUUGAUUCAAUGGAGUGUGGCAUCAACAUUUACGAAGUGGCCCGUGGCAAGCCACACUUGUUAAGAGGUACAUAUCUUGUAACCCAGCACACACUAGACAAAGGCUGAUAUUAGUGCAGGUACUGCAGAGACCUCAUGUAACCCAGCACACACUGGCUGAGGGCUGACUGCAGGUACUGCAAAGAGUUCGUGUAACCCAGCAUACACUGGAUGAGGGCUGACUGCAGGUACUGCAGAGAGGUUGUGUAACCCAGCAUACACUAGACGGGCUAACACUGGCGCAGGUGCUGUAGAAAUUGUGUAACCCAUUGGACAAGGGCUGAUGUUAGUACAGGUAAUGUGGAUACCAUUGUAACCCAGCACACACUAGAUGACAGCUAAUGUUAAUGCAGGUAAUGUGGCGACCUUGUGUAACCCAGUACACACUGGACAAGGACUGAUACUAGUGCAGGUAAUGGGAGACCUCACUUGUCACUUAAAAUGAUCAUCGACUCCAACAAUACACUACAGACCUGCAUCUCUCUCACUGAUCUUAACCAUUUACAAAUAUAAUUUGUUUAUGGUGAACUGUGAAAAAUAUUAGAUGCCUUACAGUGUUGGGUUGCUAAACUAGGCUCAAUGCAAAUCAUAUGUGAUGUACCAGAGAAAUACAUUUCAUAUUAAUAAGGCACUGCAGGUACAGGUAUUUUGCUAUAAAAGGCACAGUGAAGAUGUAUACAGAAUCAGCUCUACAAUAUAAAACCAUUAUAAAUUCUUCACUUUGUAUUGCAGUAUAAUACAGUAGGUGUAGAGCAAUACAGGGAUGAGAGCCAUUAAUGCUUGAUUAAAGGACUUUUCUGGAAAAAAGGCAUUGAAAUGUUUUGAUACUUGAUAUUAGUGAUAGAAUACCCCCACCACACCCAAAAAAAAAAAAAGAAUUUAGAUGAAAUUGAUACCCUCAAAAAUUCUUCCACUCUUUAAUGAAAAUAAAAUGGCAG